CGGGGCGUGGCGCAGCUUGGUAGCGCGCUUGACUGGGGGUCAAGAGGCCGCAGGUUCAAAUCCUGUCGCUCCGACCA
rnacentral:tRNA from 3 species